UACGUAGGGGGCAAGCGUUAUCCGGAUUCACUGGGCAUAAAGGGAGCGCAGGCGGCACGGCAAGUCUGGUGUGAAAACCCGGGGCUCAACCCCGGGACUGCAUUGGAAACUGCCGGGCUGGAGUGUCGGAGGGGUAAGCGGAAUUCCUAGUGUAGCGGUGAAAUGCGUAGAUAUUAGGAGGAACACCAGUGGCGAAGGCGGCUUACUGGACGAUGACUGACGCUGAGGCUCGAAAGCGUGGGGAGCAAACAGG
rnacentral:rRNA from 1 species